rnacentral:rRNA from 1 species
AUACGGAGGGUGCAAGCGUUAAUCGGAAUUACUGGGCGUAAAGCGCUCGUAGGCGGCUUGUUAAGUCGGAUGUGAAAGCCCCGGGCUCAACCUGGGAACUGCAUUCGAUACUGGCAGGCUAGAGUAUAGUAGAGGCAAGUGGAAUUCCGGGUGUAGCGGUGAAAUGCGUAGAUAUCCGGAGGAACAUCAGUGGCGAAGGCGACUUGCUGGACUAAUACUGACGCUGAGGAGCGAAAGCGUGGGGAGCAAACGGGAUUAGAUACCCGAGUAGUCC